rnacentral:rRNA from 1 species
AUUCCCCUAGUAGCGGCGAGCGAAGCGGGAAAAGCUCAAAUUUGUAAUCUGGCGCUUUCGGCGUCCGAGUUGUAAUCUCGAGAAGUGUUUUCCGCGUCAGACCGCACACAAGUCUCCUGGAACGGAGCGUCAUAGUGGUGAGAACCCAGUACACGGUGCGGAUGCCUGAUGCUUUGUGAUACACUUUCGAAGAGUCGAGUUGUUUGGGAAUGCAGCUCAAAUUGGGUGGUAAAUUCCAUCUAAAGCUAAAUAUUGGCGAGAGACCGAUAGCGAACAAGUACCGUGAGGGAAAGAUGAAAAGCACUUUGGAAAGAGAGUUAACAGUACGUGAAAUUGUUGGAAGGGAAACGCUUGAAGUCAGACUUGCUAUUCGGAGCUUGCUUCGAUUCGCAGGCCCGCAUCAGUUUUUCGGGGCGGAAAAUCGUAGAGAGAAGGUAGCAGUUUCGGCUGUGUUAUAGCUUUCUACUGGAUUCGUCCUGGGGGACUGAGGAACGCAGCGUGCUUUUUGCAUGGGCUUCGGCCUAUCCACGCUUAGGAUGCGGGUGGAAUGGCUUUAAACGACCCGUCUUGAAACAC